UCCAAGGCCACACUUCCCAGAUUCUCGGUGUGCAUCAAAUGUUUUCUCCUCUGACUCAAUGAAUGGUUAAACUGCCAUGAAACUAUUUUGCCUGUGGUAGAGAAGGCAGCUGGGAUAAAGUAACCUUGAGCAUGACUCUUUGAGAAAAAAUUAAACUAGGUAAACAAGUGAUUCAGCCCAUGCUUUGGAAGUUGUCAAGAGCUGCUCUGAAAAGUACACGACAUACAGUUCCUUUCUCCUGGAGUCUUCAAUCCUAGCGAGGGUACAGGAGACAGUAAGUGGAAGCAAAAUGCAGAUUCUUAUGUGUUCCUUAGGUUCUCAAAGGACACAGCUACACGCUUGUCACAUUUUUCCAGUAAACAUGAGAAGACUACUACAGCCAUUGCAGGCAAGCUGUCUCCUAGCAAUUAUGAAAAAGGCAAUAAACAUGAAGAAUGGGAGGUAGAUGCGUACUACAAUCUGCCAGUUCCCAGGACAUCACUAGCAUUGAAAGAUCUUUUGAAUAUUAAUUUUUAUUUCAUUGAAUCCAGGACACUGUGUUGUAAGAUAGAUCAUUUUAUUUUGCUUCAGUAAGGAAGGAAACAAGGGCUGGUCAAUCAAAGCAUGGUGUUCCACUAUUUUAAGCCUCAUCCUGAUCACAGAGAUAUUCAACUAGAAAACGACUUCCAUCUCAGGAUUGAUGAAUGAGCUCAUGAGAAGAAUUGCUGACUGAUGAAUGAAGGAGUAUUACUUUAUUCUAAUCGGACCGCUUGUUCUUUUUAUUUCUGCUUUUCAUUUCAAGUGGUUUGGAAAAGAAAGAUUUCUCUAGGAAGAGGGUAGGUUUAGAAAAAUGGUCCCCUGGAAUGUUUCUGUAUCUUGAGAAUAGAAAACCUUCACAGUAUCAGGCUGAAGGGAGGAUCUGAGGGCGGUUUCUGUUUUAAAAUUUCAUAGGCAUCCCUUUGCGCUAGAUCAAAAUCAUCUAAACAGACUGAAUAUGAACUUUUGAGGGGAAAAAAAUCCUUUAAGAUUUAGAGGGAGAUUUUUUUUUCCUAGAGCAGUGGGUGUCCUUCAUUACUUCAGUAUUUCCAAAGAUGCUGAAAUGAAACAUUUGACUUUAAAUCUCAAAAUACCCAAUUUGGAGGAGACACUAUUAAGAUUAGCAUGAUCAUGUAUUCUCUGAUCCCAGAUUUCUAUAUAUCUUAGUAUCCUCAUGCUGACAUGAUGAGAAAUUGCACUAAUUAGUCUUCUACCUUGAAGAUAAAAUGACUAGAGUCAUUUAGUAGAUACUAGAAAACAAACAAACAAAUAUGAAAGGAACAGAUGUAAAAUUUUCUAAAUAUUCUUGCAAAUAGGCAAUCAUUAGUCUUGCUUAAUAUCGCUGCCUUAGGGAUACAGAGAUACUUGUGUUCACCAUAGAUUCCAUAGUAAGCCAAUAACCUCUAAUCAUGCAGAUUGCCUUUCUCCACGAACCACUGGCUCUGUUUAUUCCUCUGCUUCGCUUCCCGAUUGCACAAAUCAAAUUUUACACAUACAGCGUCUUCUCCUGCCUGCUACUAUAAUUCAUUUCUACAAAUCAAAUCAGGUCAUCACAAAGCUGCCCACAAACUCUCAAUGAUGUUAACUUUUGUCUUUUACAGAAGUAAUGACCUCCACAUAACCAUUUUUUGGAAUGAGUGUGGUUCUUUCUGAGGAAGGUUUCUGUUACUCCAAUUAUAUUUGCAACACCCCCUCCCCCGCCCCCUGGGGAUGUUUCAUCCUCAUCAUUUCAAUUCUUGCCAUUUUGGAUCAAGUCUCAGGGAUCAAUGGGGAAGGAAGGUGGCACUGGAAAGAAAUAAUGUCCACACCUCACGGCAACAAUCUUAAGUGGCACGUUGGUUUACUUAAGAGUGUGGCUAAAUCCUGAUAAUUUAAGCCCCAAUUGAAGCUCCUGAACCUGAAAUCACCCUGACGUUGUAAAGGAAUGAAGUCUUGCUACCAAACAAGAAAAUAUGUGUUCAACCAAAUGGGAUAAGGAUAUAUUUCUAAAACAGAACUGCAUCCAAGUUUUUGAUUCAACAGUUGAUGGGAAACUCUCUGGUCAUUUUUCCGGGAGAAAAUGUUUUCAUUUUCUCAGCUCAUUUGGAAGAGGGGCAAAAGGCAUGCUAGAAACUGAAAGGUAAGGUAGCAGGUAAGUCUGUGCCAACUUCUGGAGGAAGCCAUUACCUUUCAACUUUGAUCUACAAGUUCACUGGACUGUUUUAAAUGUGACCUUGUCUGACCACAUCUACGAAACUUGACUUUGAUUUCAGAUUAGGUUUCUCAGAAAGGUUUAGGAAAUCAAAGCACCAAUGGAAUCUGGACAAAAAUUUGAUAUGACAGCUUCAUGUAGAACAGGCAAGACGCUGGCCCCAAUGGGUACAUGGGGACAGUCAACUUUCAUUGCCUCAUUAGCAAUUACAGAGGGUUGUACUGCUUGGAUCGUAAAACCUGCUGGCUCAGGUUUUCAAGACACAUUAUUUCUCAAUAUAAUAGUCUUUCCUUUUAGAGGGAAAUGAAUUUAAGAAUGAAGAACAAAAUGCAAAAGUGCAGCAAGAACAGACUGCAUCAUGUCCCUCAAUUCCAUGUUUUUUCCCCUUACUUCACUGACUUUGAGAUGUUGUUAGCUUAAAUUAACAAAGUGCCCUUUUAUGCCUAACAGGUAAAUAGCUCCAUGUAAAACAAGAAGCUGAGUAUUAAUUCAACCCCAAUUAACCAAGCAUGCUACAAGUUAUACCAUUCAAAAAUAUGCCAGUCAUGGUUCC